rnacentral:lncRNA from 1 species
AUAAUCAACUUUCUUUCUUACAUCUGUUCACUUUUAAUCUUGGUUCCCGAACUUAUUUUGAAUUCGUAACAUCGUACAGUGGCUAAGGGCAACCCCACUUCUCAAAUUUAUAGUAAUUCUCCAAUGAACAUAUAUUUUCAUGCUUCUAGUUUCAAUAAUAUCUCUAUGUGUUCUAUACUAUUACCUGGAGGUUAUUUGACUUGAUAUUUGUUAAAGUGAAGGUAAAAUUGGACGACAGCAUUCAUAAAUUAGAUCGUAAUUUUUUUUAUAGUACCUAGUAGCUACAUUGUGAUUUUAGGUAGUAAGAGGCUUUUUACAGAGCUAGGUCAUCACUGAGAACAUCUUUCUUUUUUCUGUUUGCUUGUUUAGCACAGUGAACAAGGAUGGAUUCAAACCAAAUGUAGAGACUCAUCUUAUUCCUUUACUAGCAUCAAAACUAGAAGAAACAGCAUCUUCAGACACAAAAGAGAAAAGUGCAACAAUAUCUACAAAAGGAGCUCAUCAUCCAUUGCUNNNN